UCGUUCCUUAAAGGGUCGAGCUUGUACACGUUCUGCAUCUGAUUUCUUAGCCGCAUAGCUAUCGCCAUCGGACCUUGUUCCGCCAUCUUUGGGAAUUCUGCAUACUUCCGGGUAACGGGAGAGUGGGUUAAUGCACAGUACAAUUCUUACCACCAAUUUCACACACAUGACUUGACCGAAAUCCUGACCUUUUGUUAGAGCAUGGGCCACUCAGAACGGUCUUGCGACCCACCAGCUGAGAAAUACAACAGCCAAUUUGGUUGUCUGGACGGCAGUUUUGGAGAGAUGCUGUACAAUCUCAAGUCAGAGCAAACAGCUGCUUUAUCCCAGAGGCAGUGUCCUCCUCCCAGACUAACAUUAAACAUAGUCUUUACCUUCCUGAUUCCAGAGAGCAUCUGUGCCUCUUCCUGAAAGAGAAGUCUGGUUACAGCUGUCUGCCGAGAGGUGGGACGUCGUCAGGGAAACCGCUUCAUUAGGGGUGUAAUUAACAUCUGUGCUAGACAAUGGAUGCCAUGGUGAUAGACUCACUUUCUGUGUUCUAAGGGAUGAUGUUAUGCAGGUAAUAUCAUGAGUUCGCAUUAUGCUUUUACAUCAUAGUCAUGGUCUAAUACUACAUUAGAUAAUUACAGAAAAUGGGAUCAAAAACAAGGCGGUGAAGUUGUAUGUACAUGUACAAACAAACCAUUGAACCGUUGAUACCUUAUACCUUAAAUACAAUGCAGGUUGUUUUGGUUAAAA